AAUAAGGAAGAGAGAAAACAAUG
rnacentral:piRNA from 1 species